UACGAAGGGGGCUAGCGCUGUUCGGAAUUACUGGGCGUAAAGCGCACGUAGGCGGAUUGUUUAGUGAGGGGUGAAACCCCAGGGCUCAACCCUGGAACUGCCUCUCAUACUGGCAAUCUCGAGUCCGGAAGAGGUGAGUGGAAUUCCGAGUGUAGAGGUGAAAUUCGUAGAUAUUCGGAGGAACACCAGUGGCGAAGGCGGCUCACUGGUCCGGUACCGACGCUGAGGUGUGAAAGCGUGGGGAGCAACCAGG
rnacentral:misc_RNA from 1 species